AUCUUGGUCCGCUCACAAAAACAAGUUCCCUCAGCCGCACGGGCAUUGACGAUAAGUUCCGGGAAACCUCAGUUCCUACCGUCGAAUCGCCGGAUAGUUACAGCAAAGGCGGAGGCCACUCUGCGCGUCGCGUCUGUGCUGGCCUUCUGAAGGGGCAUUGUGUAGCGUUGGUUUCCCAGGGUACAACGUAGCUAGCUGCCUCAAGGCAAACCAAACUCGCAAUGGGAACCUCAAGUGCUGCAGCGACGCCUCACGGAGAUACAGCUAAAGAAAUGUGGUGAAUACGGGACCCGAAGCGUCAAGUCUCGUCUUCAGACCUGCUGGGUUUUUCCAGCUGGUUUUGUUUUUGUUAAAAGGAAUUUGAGGUCUGAUAAUAAAAAAACAA